AUAUAAGUUAUCGUUUAUUUGAUAGUACCUUACUACAUGGAUAACCGUGGUAAUUCUAGAGC
rnacentral:rRNA from 1 species